rnacentral:misc_RNA from 1 species
GCCCGCCUUGCCCUCCUCUCCGCCCACCGGGCAGCGGCGUCUCCGCCGCUCGCCGCCCUCCCCUAUUCCACCUCCUCCUCCUCCCCCGCCCCCUACUUCCGCCCGCCUCCCCCAACCGCCGUCCCCGGCAUGCCGAAGGCGGUAGAGUACGUGAUCUCGAAGGUCGAUGACCUCAUGAACUGGGCCCGCCGAGGAUCUCUCUGGCCCAUGACCUUCGGGCUCGCCUGCUGUGCUGUGGAGAUGAUGCAUACUGGUGCUGCGCGGUACGAUCUGGAUCGGUUUGGGGUUAUCUUUCGCCCGAGCCCUCGGCAGUCCGAUUGCAUGAUCGUCGCCGGGACGCUGACGAACAAGAUGGCUCCCGCUCUUCGCAAGGUGUAUGACCAGAUGCCCGAGCCACGCUGGGUGAUAUCCAUGGGCAGCUGUGCUAAUGGUGGUGGGUACUAUCAUUACUCAUACUCGGUCGUUCGUGGCUGUGACCGGAUUGUUCCUGUUGAUAUCUACGUUCCUGGAUGCCCUCCGACUGCUGAGGCUUUGCUCUAUGGCAUUCUCCAGCUCCAGAAGAAGAUCAAUAGGAGGAAGGACUUCCUCCUCUGGUGGACCAAGUGAAGCCGUUUAAUCUACUCUGGUCGACCCAGCUGAUUGUUUCAUGGCUUCUGUGCCGCUGUUUGUUGGAAUAAAAAGACAUGUAUGUUCUCAACUAUGCUGUGCUUGAAGCUCUUAUAGCGUUCUACUUACCGUUUCUGAGUUUGUGGAGUACUUGU